AUUAUUUAUAUGUAAAUUAAACUAAUUUAUAAAAGUAAUUAUAUAACAGUAUUUAUAGUUUUGGGGCUAAACCUCCCUCCCCAAAUGAAGAAAAUUAGCAACACCCCUGGAAUAGGUCCUAAAGCUGAACUGGACCGAAUAAAUAAAGACUGUCACAACACUAAUCAAAGUGAUCUUAAAAAAAUAAUCGAAAUGGAGAACAAUUGCGUGGCCGUUGGUUGCAGGAGUGGAUAUAACAAGAAAAAAUUAAAGAAAAUGAUAGUAGUAUAAUCAAGGAGUCAAUUUCAUAACAUAAAUUUCUAAAAGAUCCUAUCCUUGGUAAAGUGGAUAAAUAAUAUUUCUAGAAAAAAAUAGACCCCAUCACCACAUUUA
rnacentral:lncRNA from 1 species